rnacentral:rRNA from 1 species
GGCGUUAAGUUGCAGGGUAUAGACCCGAAACCCGGUGAUCUAGCCAUGGGCAGGUUGAAGGUUGGGUAACACUAACUGGAGGACCGAACCGACUAAUGUUGAAAAAUUAGCGGAUGACCUGUGGCUGGGGGUGAAAGGCCAAUCAAACCGGGAGAUAGCUGGUUCUCCCCGAAAGCUAUUUAGGUAGCGCCUCGUGAAUUCAUCUCCGGGGGUAGAGCACUGUUUCGGCUAGGGGGCCAUCCCGGCUUACCAACCCGAUGCAAACUGCGAAUACCGGAGAAUGUUAUCACGGGAGACACACGGCGGGUGCUAACGUCCGUCGUGAAGAGGGAAACAACCCAGACCGCCAGCUAAGGUCCCAAAGUCAUAGUUAAGUGGGAAACGAUGUGGGAAGGCCCAGACAGCCAGGAUGUUGGCUUAGAAGCAGCCAUCAUUUAAAGAAAGCGUAAUAGCUCACUGGUCGAGUCGGCCUGCGCGGAAGAUGUAACGGGGCUAAACUAUGCACCGAAGCUGCGGCAGCGACACUAUGUGUUGUUGGGUAGGGGAGCGUUCUGUAAGCCUGUGAAGGUGUGUCGUGAGGCAUGCUGGAGGUAUCAGAAGUGCGAAUGCUGACAUAAGUAACGAUAAAGCGGGUGAAAAGCCCGCUCGCCGGAAGACCAAGGGUUCCUGUCCAACGUUAAUCGGGGCAGGGUGAGUCGACCCCUAAGGCGAGGCCGAAAGGCGUAGUCGAUGGGAAACGGGUUAAUAUUCCCGUACUUGGUGUUACUGCGAAGGGGGGACGGAGAAGGCUAUGUUGGCCGGGCGACGGUUGUCCCGGUUUAAGCGUGUAGGUGUGUGUUCCAGGUAAAUCCGGUUCACUUUAACACUGAGGCGUGA